GACGAACGCUGGCGGCGUGCUUAACACAUGCAAGUCGAACGGAAAGGCCCUGCUUUUGUGGGGUGCUCGUGGGGAGAAGGGGGGAGUAACACGUGAGUAACGCGCCCUUCACUGUGAGAUAACUUCAGGAAAGAGGGGCUAAUAGCAGAUAAGAGCUCCUGCCGUGAGGUGGGGGUGGGAAAGUUUCGGCGGUUGGGGUUGGACUCGCGGCUUCUGAGCGUGUUGGUGGGGUUGUGGCUGACCAAGGCUAUGACGGGUAGCCGGCCUGAGCGGGUGACCGGCCACACUGGGACUGAGAUACGGCACAGACUCCUACGGGAGGCAGCAGUGGGGAAUAUUGCACAAUGGGCGGAAGCCUGAUGCAGCAACGCCGCGUGCGGGAUGACGGCCUUCGGGUUGUAAACCACUUUCACUUGUGACGAAGCGUGAGUGACGGUACCGGGUGAAGAAGCACCGGCUAACUACGUG
rnacentral:rRNA from 1 species